rnacentral:lncRNA from 1 species
AGGGAAAGAACACAAACCCAGGCCUCAGAAAGUCUCUGCCAGAAUGCUGAGCUCAAUAUGGGAGCCGCAGAGCCAGGGCAAGCUGGUGUGCCAGGUGCCAGGGGGCAACAAGACUCACCGGGCGGGUGUCUUCCACAUUCUGAAGUCACCUGCCAGUCAUGCCACCUUGAGGACACCUUCCCGAGGCCCAAGUCCCCAUCCUUCUGCUGAAAAUGAAGAGGUCCAGAAGAGUGACCGUUUCUGUAACGGAUCAGAUCUUUUCCCAGGCAGACUUGUGCCCCAUGAAACAUCUUUGAAGAAAUACAGACCGUUUCCGAAUAUAUAGCAUUCCCUUGGGCAAAGGAACAGGAAGGGCAUGUUAGCUGAGAUAAACCAUGGUAACGAAUACCUUUGAUUUGGUGGUCAAGAUUCCCGACUUCUCACCAGUCAGGUAAGAACUUGCAGUUGUUUUCACACGAGAAGGGACUAGUAGCCCUAAUUUUCUGGCCUGGCUUAUCUUGUAGGAUCAGGCAGUGGGGGUUUGUGCAAGGCUGCCAGGCCCACGUGGGGCUGUGCCCAGGAGGCGAGUUCUGUGGGCCACAGCUCCAUAUAGAGCAGCCCACAGGCUCCCUGACUGCAGGAGGAUACAAGAGCCACACGUACAGAAAAUGCCAGGGAUGGUCAGUCAGCAGAGAAAGGCAGAUGUGCCACGCUGGUAAAAAUCUGGGCCUAGCCAAGGGUUUUGAAAUUUCUGAGCAAGACUGACAUAAAUGACCUUUAUUUCCUUGAAGCCUAGCAACUUGAAGGGCACAAGAUACCCUUAUGCUUUCUAAGAGAAAAGCACCACCAAGCCUAUUCCAGUGUACAGUCCAUGACUGCAGCUCUAGGGAAUGUGGAGGGAUAUUCUGACGUUUGUCUCCUGCUCCAACAUUACUGGAAAGCUACCAGGAGUGAUAGAUAUGGCCCAACAUUAAGAACCAAAAUUUCUGCACUGUAUUGGGCCAAAGAGAGCUGAGGAAAGAGUAUCUGCAAACACUAUCAGACUGUAGCAAGGCCUUCCAAACAAGCACACAUUUGGGUAAACAAACAAACAGAAACUAAUAUGCUCGUUAUACAAAGAUAGCAAUGUUGCCACCCAUGAGUCUUUUUAUUGGAAGUCCUGAAGCCUUGUGCCGCUGCAGGUAGGCCCAGGUCUAUGCCCUGUUUCCUAUCUAGCCUUCUCUUUUUGUACCCUAGCUUCUUUACGAAUAAAAUGAAAGUAAAGAAGGGUACAGAUUAUUGACUACUGGUCUGCUUUGAAUGUGUCCCCCCAAAAAUUCACGUGCUGGAAACUUCAUCUCCAAAUUCAGAUGUUGAUGGUAUUUGGAGGUGGGGCUUCGUAGAAGUAAUUAGGGUGAGAUGAGUCAUGAAGCUGGCACCCCAGCAUGGGGUUAGAGCCUCUAUAUGAAGAGGAAGAGACCUGAGCUUGCCCACUCCUGCCUCUUGUCCUUGGGAUGCACUGUUCCACGCAGCAGAUGGUCCUUACCAGAUGUUGCACCAUGUUCUUGGACUUACCAAGCUCCAGAACUACAAAAAAUAAAUCUCUAGCCAUUAUAAAUCACCCUGUUAUAACCACACAAAACAGACAUACGACCACUUCUAGUAUUCCUCCUGGCUCUGUCAUCCCUGGAUUUUGUGCUCUCCGAAGGUGAAGAAUGUUCUGGAACACUCCUAGUUUCCACCAGGUGAGAUGGAGAAAAGCCAGGCCUGGGAGGGAUGAGGCUCCUCAGACCCCAGGUGUGAGAGAUCCUGACUCUUUGUCCAGUCAGAUUCCUCUGUCUUUCUAGGGAAGGGAAAGAGAGCUGUUCGCCAAUGUGGAGGCUUCACAAAAGCACAGAAACAAAUAUGCAGUUCUUAGCAAAUACUCAAUUUACCCGGAAGUGCUCAGCUGCCUGUGGGAGCAGGCUUUCUGCUGACCCAGAUAAGCAGCCCAGGGCCCUGUGAUGUUGGUGUGAGGUACUUCAAGAUGCCUCUCACCACGGGCCACCAGGAUGCUGGCGGCCCCAUCCAAACACAAACACAAUGAAAGUGGUCUCCCUGUCUCCACAGACAUGAGCACAAAGGUGAGUUUUCAGUUAAUAAGAUCCUCUGGUGUUUCCAGCACUAAGCAGGUGAGGUCAUUAGAACUCAUCUUUAAAUACAUUUCUCCCUCAUUCUGACAGAGUGAAAAAUAGUUGGAAGGAACUGAUUUUAUUUCCCAUUUAAGUUAAUUCAAUGGGAGGCAGAUAUUUUGUGUUUUCUUUCUGUGUGUGUGUGGAAGGGAUGGGGAAGCCUCGGG